rnacentral:rRNA from 1 species
UACGUAGGGGGCAAGCGUUGUCCGGAUUCAUUGGGCGUAAAGAGCGUGUAGGCGGCCAGGUAGGUCGGUUGUGAAAACUGGAGGCUCAACCUUCAGAGGUCGACCGAAACCAUCUGGCUAGAGUCCGGGAGAGGAGAGUGGAAUUCCUGGUGUAGCGGUGAAAUGCGUAGAGAUCAGGAAGAACAUCGGUGGCGAAGGCGCUCUGCUGGACCAUAACUGACACUCAGGGACGAAAGCUAGGGGAGCGAACAGG